rnacentral:rRNA from 1 species
AGUGAACGCUGGCGGUAGGCCUAACACAUGCAAGUCGAACGGCAGCACAGUAAGAGCUUGCUCUUACGGGUGGCGAGUGGCGGACGGGUGAGGAAUACAUCGGAAUCUACUUUUUCGUGGGGGAUAACGUAGGGAAACUUACGCUAAUACCGCAUACGACCUGCGGGUGAAAGCAGGGGAUCUUCGGACCUUGCGCGAUUGAAUGAGCCGAUGUCGGAUUAGCUAGUUGGCGGGGUAAAGGCCCACCAAGGCGACGAUCCGUAGCUGGUCUGAGAGGAUGAUCAGCCACACUGGAACUGAGACACGGUCCAGACUCCUACGGGAGGCAGCAGUGGGGAAUGUUGGACAAUGGGCGCAAGCCUGAUCCAGCCAUACCGAGUGGGUGAAGAAGGCCUUCGGGUUGUAAAGCCCUUUUGUUGGGAAAGAAAAGCAGCAGGUUAAUACCCCGCUGUUCUGACGGUACCCAAAGAAUAAGCACCGGCUAACUUCGUG